CAGUUGAAACUGGAGCAGCAGCAAGGCCAAAAAUAGAAGUCAAACUUAUGGAUGGUGUCUGUCAUAAUGGAACUGUUAAACAAGAGUCAGUACUGCUGUAGAUCUCACACAAGUCAUUUUUCUCUUUCCAGUGCACAGUGUCUUCAGUCUACAGCUACCUCUGUACAUGGCUUUCAUAUGUGAAGCGGUGCUUCUGGGACAAUAAUUAGGUUCCAGUAGGUUCAAAAUCCACAUCCCUCUUCAAGACCUCGUUCCAGAAGUGAUGAAAGCAGUUCCACUUUUGUACCAACAAUGAAGACAUGCUAAUUGUUUUUAUGGAUUCCAUCUUAAAUUCAUGGUCUACUUAAGAAAAUGUCUUUACUUUUGAUGUUAAGAGCACUUGCAGGUGUAAUGUAUAGAAAUUGGGGCCGAUAUUAAACAUUUUAAUAAAAACGAA